CGAAGGAUCCAAGCGUUGUCCGGAUUUACUGGGUUUAAAGGGAGCGUAGGCGGACUUUUAAGUCAGUGGUGAAAGCUUGCAGCUUAACUGUAAAAUUGCCAUUGAAACUGAAAGUCUCGAGUAUGGUUGAGGUAACUGGAAUAUAUCAUGUAGCGGUGAAAUGCUUAGAUAUGAUAUAGAACACCAAUUGCGAAGGCAGGUUACUAAACCAUAACUGACGCUGGGGCUCGAAAGCGUGGGGAUCAAACAGGAUUAGAUACCCUGGUAGUCCACGCCCUAAACGUUGAAUACUCGAUCUUAGCGAUAUACAGUUAGGAUCCAAGCGAGAGCGUUAAGUAUUCCACCUGGGAAGUACGAUCGCAAGAUUG
rnacentral:rRNA from 1 species